UGUUGUUAAUGACACCCGUAUUCAAUUUUUUUGAAUUCAAGCCCAAAACGUGCACUUCUCAACGACACUUUUACAGUGUGGAUCGUAAAAGAUUUGUCUUGAGGAUCGUCGGAAAAAAAAUAUUCAAGAAAGUGCGAGAUGGCUGCAAUUAAUAAUGCAGACCCUCUUGGUGUUACAAAUGGUAUGAAAAAGGAAGCCACGUCAAACACAACACCAACAAAAUCACAGGGAAAAUCACAGCUUGAAUCACUCCCUAAAGAAGACCUUAUAAAAUACGUCAGGAAACAACUUGCUCUGUUAAAACAAACCAAAGCCAAGUGUGACG